GACGAACGCUGGCGGCGUGCUUAACACAUGCAAGUCGAACGAUGAAGAAGAGAAACGCGAACUUCGGUUCAAAUUUCACUUCGGAUUAGUGGCAGACGGGUGAGUAACGCGUGAGCAACCUACCUCUUACAAAGGGAUAGCCUCGGGAAACCGUGAUUAAUACCAUAUGACACAUUCAUAAGGCAUCUUAAGAAUGUUAAAGCUACGGCGGUAAGAGAUGGGCUCGCGUCCCAUUAGCUAGUUGGUGAGGUAACGGCCCACCAAGGCGACGGUGGGUAACCGGGCUGAGAGGGUGAACGGUCACAGUGGAACUGAGACACGGUCCAAACUCCUACGGGAGGCAGCAGUGGGGAAUAUUGCACAAUGGAGGGAGCUCUGAUGCAGCGACGCCGCGUGAGCGAUGAAGGAAUUCGUUUCGUAAAGCUCUGUUCUAUGGGAAGAAAAGGACUGUACCAUAGGAGAAAGCCCCGGCUAAAUACGUG
rnacentral:rRNA from 1 species